rnacentral:misc_RNA from 1 species
GGUUAGUAUGAUAAAUUGAAAACAAGUCAACUAGAAAUUUGGAAAUCAUAACCGUACCAUCAUUAAUUCAUUGAUGAAAGCCAACAAACAGCGUAUACCCGAAAACCUUUUCCAUUUUCGGUUGAAAGGGGGUACACAGUUUUCAUUACCCACACUUCCGUAUCAUUCAUUGGCCCAUCGGAAUUCCUGUAUUAUAUGAUCGUUCGUCUAUAGUAAAGGAAAAGCUGUUUUGGUAACAGACUACUGAACCUUAAGAAAAUUGUUUUUAAAUGAUUUAGUAACUGCCAGAAAACAGCUCGUCGGAUAAAUUUUUUGUCAUGUGAUUAUUUAUUUUAGUUUUAGGGUGCUUUAAUGGUACAAGGAACAACAUGGACCUGUUAGACCCCUGAUGCGAUUGCUAACCUCUUCGCCUAGUUGAGACUCUUAAAUCAAAAAAAAAUCCACAAUUGUACAACAUCCACUCAGGGCUCCCAAAGCUGGACAAUCUUACAUGGUUGCGACACGUGUAAAUGCUUAACACAAUUUUAAAGAUCUCUUUUUCAGAAGUUUUUGUUCUGCUUUCUAUGGGAAAUACGUCAUCAUCCCCUUAAGUGUGGAGAGAAUUACGAGAGCAAUUAAAGCUACACCGUUUUGAGUGAAGAACUCAAGGCAACCACCGCUUUAUUGGUAGCUUUAUCGAUCAUUGGUCUCUUUCUUCCAGCACUGAACAAUUUUUAACGGUCGAUAAAGAUGUUUGUUUCGUCAUAGACGGGAAUCAGCCAUUGGUAAACGUUUGUCCAACGCUCAAUUAAGGAACAAACUACACCGCCGAUGUAGCACAAUGAGUCGCAGCAUUCCAUCUUGCAACCAUAACCAAGUCCAAAAUUCCCAUGCAACAAUGUUGCAGAAGAGCAAAAGCAUAUCGUGCCGGCAUCGGGCAGUGCAGCAAAGACAACAAAAACGGCUACGGUUAUCUAAAGGAGUAUGCGCGUUUGGGUGGGCAUAGCAUUUAUUUCUCUACCGGAUUCAAGAACGAACACAUAAAUCAUAAAUACCACUUGCAGCAUACACCAUAAGCCCUCUUUCGUAGGCUAUCUUAAAAAAACCACAUGAAUACUUUAUUAUGAAAAACUCAAAAAUAAUAUUAUGAUUAUA